GCAGCAGGCGCGAAAACUUUACAAUGCUGGCAACAGCGAUAAGGGAACCUCGAGUGCCAGGUUACAAAUCUGGCUGUCGAGAUGCCUAAAAGCAUUUCAUAGCAAGGGCCGGGCAAGACCGGUGCCAGCCGCCGCGGUAACACCGGCGGCUCGAGUGGUAACCGUUAUUAUUGGGUCUAAAGGGUCUGUAGCCGGCCGGAUAAGUCUCUUGAGAAAUCUGGCAGCUUAACUGUCAGGCUUUCAGGAGAUACUGUCUGGCUCGAGGCCGGGAGAGGUGAGAGGUACUUCAGGGGUAGGGGUGAAAUCUUGUAAUCCUUGAAGGACCACCAGUGGCGAAGGCGUCUCACCAGAACGGACCUGACGGCAAGGGACGAAAGCUAGGGGCACGAACCGGAUUAGAUACCCGGGUAGUCCUAGCCGUAAAACGAUACUCGCU
rnacentral:rRNA from 1 species